rnacentral:sRNA from 1 species
AGAUUCGACUUGCAAAUUGGAGAACUCAAACUUCCUUUGACUUCUGCUGUUUUUAACAUCAUUAAUGACACCAGUGACGCGGUAUUUCUGGAGCUCAAUGAAAGAUUCAAAUCUCUAUUGACUCUUCUCAAACCUUGUCAGUCUCCAGCGUGUCCUUAUGAUGUGGUCAAUAUGUUAGGCAAAGUCAAUCUCACAGACUGUAAGCUUGUCAGUUAUGGAGUCACUAAUGCUACUACCUUCAAAUCAAAUGGACUCAAUGAGGUUUCUGUUUCCAUGGUACCAAACGGAUGUAAAACUGUUCCCAGUACAUCAAACGGCAAUAAAUCAUUAUGUUUUAAAUCAACUAGUGGAUCAGGAGUAUUGUGCUACGUAAGUUGAGGCUAGAGAUAAUGUCAACAGUAGAGGCUGGACGUAGGUUUUGUGUAGAUCAAAAGUUUGGAUGGUCGGUUAAGACAGAAGUAAGCAAGGAAGAGUUCACGUCGAUAUUUUGCCUGAGGGUCAUGUGAGGUCAGAUCGCAAGGUUAGUGUAAACCUGCUAGCUAAAGAGGUUAGUGUGAACCUGCUAGCUAAAGAGAAUAGUGUGAACCUGCUAGCUAAAGAGGUUAGUGUGAACCUGCUAGCUAGAAGUUAGUGAGUCAGCUAAAGAGGUUAGGAGGAGAGGUCAGCUGGAGAGGUUAGAAUGAGGUCAAAUGUUACGAUGAGAUGUGAGGUAGAGAUGUUUGUAUGAGAGGCCAGGUCGAGAGGUUAGGAUGAGGCGUCAGAACGAGAGGUCAGAUUGAUAGGUAAGGGUUAGAGUUCAGGUCGUGAAGUGAGAAUGAUUUAUGAAGUGAAAAGGUUAAUAUUGGUAAGUUUGUGUUCAAGUAAACAUUUUGGUAUCAGCAGUGUUUGGUAUAAUACAUUUUGUUGUUAGUAG